UACGUAGGGACCAAGCGUUGUUCGGAUUUACUGGGCGUAAGGGCGCGUAGGCGGCAAUUCAAGUCAGCUGUGAAAUCUCCGGGCUUAACUCGGAACGGUCAGCUGAUACUGCUUUGCUAGAGUGCAGAAGGGCAAUCGGAAUUCUUGGUGUAGCGGUGAAAUGCGUAGAUAUCAAGAGGAACACCUGAGGUGAAGACGGGUUGCUGGCUGACACUGACGCUGAGGCGCGAAAGCUAGGGUAGCAAACGGG
rnacentral:rRNA from 1 species